rnacentral:lncRNA from 1 species
UUGACAUUUAGUUAGGUGUAUAGAGUAAAUCUUCUUUUUAAAACUUUGAUCAUGUAUGUGUCGAUUAAUAAUUAAAAAACAAUAGCCCCACCCUUUUAUCUAAGUUCAAAAAUUAAAUAAGUAGGACGAAUGAAUCAAAAUUUGGUACUAUCCGAUUGUUUUUUAAUUUUAUAAUAGAACACGGAUUGCGGUGUAAUUAACUAAAAAAAACCCAAAAGUGGAGUAUGUUGCACUGCAGUAAUAUAGCUGGACGCGUACUUGCGUAAAUGAUUUUUCGACAGCUUGAUUGCCUAUAAAACACGUUUCAUGGGCUCCACUCCAGGCCGUACAUAAAAAUUUAUGAAUGAAUUUUAUUUUUAAAAUUUUUGUGCAUUGAACCAUUCAUCCUUUUCACACGAAGUUGAAACAAUCAUCCGUACAAUGUGAAUACCUUAUCUUAUCCCCAGCCUCAAACUUAAAAGUCAAAACCUGCUAGAUUCCGUUUCCAUUAGCUACCGUUCCAUUUUGUUAUAGCGCUUCAGCUUGUAUUUGCUUAAUUCUCAUAGCUGUUUCGCCCAUUCCGCUUCCUUUUGCAGAGAACAAACGAUGUUCUUCUUUAAUGUAUUCAUGGGAAACAACGCACGCAUGCAUAUAUAUUAAUGAACAAUGCUAAAGAGAGGGAAAGACGGAGAGAAUUUUGCCGGAGAGCAUUAAUUAGGCCUGGACUUUUAUAAAAUUUAGUUGUCAAAAAUCAUUUUUAACACAAAAAGAUAAAUCAAUCUCGCAUGCAUCAAACACGGAAUUUUGAGGAAUAUGAUGUUCGCUCAAGAAGGGACAAAAUAAAGAAACUUUAUAAACACGCAAAGAUGAGGAUUAAAAAAAAAAUCUCUCAACUAAGAAUGCCAAAAUGUAAACAUUUUCAAAUAAACAGGAAAAAUUUCAAUUACAAUCCUUAUAAUAUAAAUGGGGAGGCUUUAAAGAAACGUAAACUAUUAUUAUUAUUAUUAUUAUUAUUAUUAUUUUACCUAUAAAUAUCAAAAUUUUGACUCCCAAUUUGUUUAAAGUUCUAACUGAAUAUGAACAAUAAUCAAUUAUAGCUCUAAUAAAUAUCUAAAUUUUGAUUCUCAAUACCUUGUAUAUAGUUCGAACUGUAUUGGAACAAUAAUCAAAAAAUCAAUUUUCAAUAAGGGAUAAAAGAUUUGGCAAAACAAGAUUGUUUUUUACCAUAAUACCCAUUUUUUGAACUCUCUGUUUUACCUCCAUUAAAUUUUCAUAAUCCCUAAACUAUCUCAAAUAAGUUUUGUCACUUAUGCAUUUUGGUCCCUACAGAAGUUUUGUAAUAUUUACAAAUUGGUUCUUCAUAAUUUAUUAUUAGUAAUAAUAAUAAUAAUAAUA